rnacentral:tRNA from 1 species
ACGGGUGUAGCUCAGUUGGUAGAGCACUGGUCUCCAAAACCAGGUGUCGGGCGUUCGAGCCGCUCCUCCCGUGC